GAUGAACGCUAGCGGCAGGCUUAAUACAUGCAAGUCGAGGGACAGCACAGGUAGCAAUACUGGGUGGUAACCGGCAAACGGGUGCGGAACGCGUACACAACCUUCCUUUAAGUGGGGGAUAGCCCAGAGAAAUUUGGAUUAAUACCCCGUAAUAUAGUUGAAUGGCAUCCUUUGAUUAUUAUAGCUACGGCGCUUAAUGAUGGGUGUGCGGCUGAUUAGAUAGUUGGCGGGGUAACGGCCCACCAGGUCUACGAUCAGUAGCUGAUGUGAGAGCAUGAGCAGCCACACGGGCACUGGGACACGGGCCCGACUCCUACGGGAGGCAGCAGUAAGGAAUAUUGGUCAAUGGACGCAAGUCUGAACCAGCCAUGCCGCGCGAAGGAUUAAGGUCCUCUGGAUUGUAAACUUCUUUUAUUUGGGACGAAAAAGGGCCUUUCUAGGUCAACUGACGGUACCAGAUGAAUAAGCACCGGCUAACUCCGUGCCAGCAGCCGCGGUAACAC
rnacentral:rRNA from 1 species